AUGGAUCACCAACAGUCCAGGUUUUGUCAGUAUCUCCAUUGGAAUAAAACAGGGAAAUACAUAAAUCCUGGACUGUUGGUGGUCCAUGAGGACU